rnacentral:rRNA from 1 species
UAAUACGUAGGGAGCGAGCGUUGUCCGGAAUUACUGGGCGUAAAGGGCGCGUAGGCGGCGCUUCAAGUCGUCUGUCAAAAGCCGAGGCUCAACCUCGGCGCGCAGACGAAACUGGAGAGCUUGAGAAGCAGAGAGGCAAACAGAAUUCCUGGUGUAGCGGUGAAAUGCGUAGAUAUCAGGAAGAAUACCAGUGGCGAAGGCGGUUUGCUGGCUGCAUACUGACGCUGAAGCGCGAAAGCCAGGGGAGCAAACGGGAUUAGAUACCCCGGUAGUCCUGGCAGUAAACGAUGUAUGCUGGGUGUGGGACUAGCGAUAGUUCCGUGCCGAAGUUAACGCGAUAAGCAUACCGCCUGGGGAGUACGGUCGCAAGAUUG